rnacentral:rRNA from 1 species
UACGGAGGAUCCAAGCGUUAUCCGGAUUUAUUGGGUUUAAAGGGUGCGUAGGCGGCUUUUUAAGUCAGGGGUGAAAGACGGUGGCUCAACCAUCGCAGUGCCUUUGAUACUGAAGAGCUUGAAUACACUAGAGGUAGGCGGAAUGUGGCAAGUAGCGGUGAAAUGCAUAGAUAUGCCACAGAACACCGAUUGCGAAGGCAGCUUACUAUGGUGUGAUUGACGCUGAGGCACGAAAGCGUGGGGAGCAAACAGG